UUUCCGUUGGUGAACCAGCGGAAGGAUCAUUACAGAGUUCAUGCCCUUCGGGGUAGACCUCCCACCCUGUUUAAUUACUAUUGUUGCUUUGGCAGGCUGCCCUCACCAUGGGGCGUCCGGGUUCCGCCCGCGUCUUGCCUGCCAGAAGCCCCCUAAUUCUGUGUUCUAUGUCGUCUGAGUACUAUAUAAUAAGUUAAAACUUUCAACAACGGAUCUCUUGGUUCUG
rnacentral:misc_RNA from 1 species